UUAAAUUGAAGAGUUUGAUCAUGGCUCAGAUUGAACGCUGGCGGCAGGCCUAACACAUGCAAGUCGAACGGUAACAGGAAGCAGCUUGCUGCUUCGCUGACGAGUGGCGGACGGGUGAGUAAUGUCUGGGAAACUGCCUGAUGGAGGGGGAUAACUACUGGAAACGGUAGCUAAUACCGCAUAACGUCGCAAGACCAAAGAGGGGGACCUUCGGGCCUCUUGCCAUCGG
rnacentral:rRNA from 1 species